UACAGAGGUCUCAAGCGUUGUUCGGAUUCAUUGGGCGUAAAGGGUGCGUAGGCGGCGCGGUAAGUCGGGUGUGAAAUUUCGAGGCUUAACUUCGAAACUGCAUUCGAUACUGCCGUGCUUGAGGACUGGAGAGGAGACUGGAAUUUACGGUGUAGCGGUGAAAUGCGUAGGUAUCGUAAGGAAGACCAGUGGCGAAGGCGGGUCUCUGGACAGUUCCUGACGCUGAGGCACGAAGGCCAGGGGAGCAAACGGG
rnacentral:rRNA from 1 species